GACGUAGGGCGCGAGCGUUGUCCGGAUUAUUGGGCGUAAAGAGCUCGUAGGCGGCUUGUCGCGUCGUCCGUGAAACCUGCAGCUCAACUGCAGGCUUGCGGUCGAUACGGGCAGGCUAGGAGUUCGGUGGAGGGAGACUGGAAUUCCUGGUGUAGCGGUGAAAUGCGCAGAUAUCAGGAGGAACACCGGUGGCGAAGGCAGGUCUCUGGGCAUUAACUGACGCUGAGGAGCGAAAGCAUGGGGAGCGAACAGG
rnacentral:rRNA from 1 species